UUUUCACUUUUAUAAAUUUCAUGUUUAUUCGUAUAUACAUGAAUAUAUUAAUCUAUAACCAAGAAAGGAGAGAAUGUACAAUGCAAAACAAAAUCUCUAUAUACAAAUCAAUAAAUAAACAAAGACAUGAUGGAGGAUGGUCGGUUUUCUACACAGGUUUCAUGUUCGGAGGGAAGAAAGAAAAAAACAAAGACUGCAGUUAGAAAAAGUUCUGAAUCCUUUAAAACGGGGGAAAUGGCACCGAAGCACAGAAAGAAUAAAAACACACCACGCCAGCUGGUUUCCACUGUAUUUUUUUCUUCUUCUUCUUGUAAACGCAGCCUUUAUUCUUUUUUUUUGUUCAAACUCGCACAGAAUCAGGUCAAAUCACAAAAAGUUUUUUUUUUUUGUCAACACGGGCUACGACGACACACAUCAACGCUCGCAGGUCACAGAUUCACCUCAAGAUCCACUCAGAGUUUAGUUCAGAGCUUUAGAGGCGAAGCUGCUGCAGAAACUAGAACCGGUUUUUAAUUUUAGAAACACUUCAGUUCCAAACAGUCCAGAGGAGGAGCUGACGGUGCGUUCAGGGUACGGUGGGAAACGUGAAAGCCCGAUAAAUCUCUCAAGUUAAACAUUUGCUCCCACAAACGCUCUUUUCUAUUAAGAUUUAUGUCAUCAGAAGGCCUUUAUCUUUUACAAAAUGCACCUUUUUCAGGUAAAAACAUAAAUGUGCUCCCUUUUGAUUAAUUCGCUGCAACAUUUCAAGUCAGUGUUUAGAGAUUUUAACCCGUUUAGAUGGUUUUUAAUCAGGUCCAAACCCUCUGAACCCCCAAAAAACAGCGGGAUUUUUGGGUUAUAUUUAAAUAAAAUGAGCCACGUUUGCUCACAUUAGCAUGUCCUGCUAACUAGCAUGCUACAUAAAUCAGUGCAGGCUAACGCUAGCAGCUACGUCCUGCGUUUUGUUGGAUUUAAGGUAACUUACGAUGCUGCAGCUGCUAUUUAAAGAUGUUUUUUGGGUUAAAUUUAAAUAAAAUGAGCCACAUUUGCUCAUGUUAGCAUAUCCUGCUAACUAGCAUGCUACUUAAAUCAGUGUAGGAUAACGUUAAGGUCUGAAAAGACAUCAUUCCACCAUUUGUCAGAUCCAAAAACUGUAAGAAACAGAACAAACUGUGUGAUUUUCAACUCUCCUUCGACUUAACUGUAACUUUCCGUUCUAUAGAAGUGUGAUAUUAGAUCCAAAAUCACGUUAUUCCACGUGUCUCAUUUAAAAAUUGGUCAAAAAUAAACUGUUUAUUUUAAACAGAUUCUGUGAAAAAUGCAAAAAUUUUACGCUCCUUGAUGCAACUGAAAAGCCAAAACUGACUCAGCUGUGAUUAACAGUUGCGUGCUAAAAAUUCUGUGAUUUUUCAAGAGAUCUGCAUCAAAACCAAAGCUACUGGAUGAAUCAAAUAAAUGCAGCAUGGCUCAGAAACAGUGAACAGAGGAGCAGGUUGUUGGAGAUACAUUCAGCAUGGUGAAACAUCUUUCUAUUGAUGAUGAACAGAGACUCAAAACUGGACUAAAUAUGGACCAAAGUGACAAAAAAACUUGUCCACAGUUACUCAAAUUGCCCAGAAUCACUUCAAAAUUACUUGAAAUUAGUUGCAAAGGAGGAUUUCUUGACAGUUUUUUAAGUUUUGAGUAAGUGAAACAUCUUUGUACAGCUGAUGAGCAGAGCAGAGAGAAAAAGUCUGCCUGGAGUUCAGAGGGUUGAAGUUAAUCAAGUAAUAGUCUGACAGCAGAUUUGCUGAAAUCAAGAUACAGAAACUAUAGUUUACAGACUGUGAUGCAUUUAAGGUCCUGUUGCAUGAGUAGGAAAUCUGAAAACAACUGUGGAUAUUUUUAACAGAGGAACACUGGUGUAAUUAUGGUUUAAAAUGGUUUGAUUAACACUCAAUAUUUUGACUGUUUUUGCAACUAUAUUAAAUAUUUUGGGUACAAAUUACUUUGGUGCAUGGAAACAAAUUUCCACCACAAAAAAUAAUAAAAUAAGAGCAGUUAUUACGGUCAAAUUUAAUUAUAUAUUUUAGACAUAAUAUUUAAUAUAAUUUAAAUAUUUUGAAGGCUUCUUGUGAUCUAAAAUGGUUUAAUUAACACUGAAUAUUUAGAUUUUAUUUUAUUUUUUUUUGCAAUUGUUUAAACAUUUUGGGUAAAAACAAUUUUGGUGUAUAGGAACAAAUUUCCACCCAAAAAACAACAACAAAAAAAAGCUGUGCAAUUAUUAAAGUUAAAUUUAACUAUAAGUAAUACCUUGGAUAAAAUAUUACAUAUAGUUACAUUUUUUAAAUAUUCUGAAUAUUUUGGAGCGUUUUAAACAGAGAAAAUGUUUAACUCAUUGAAUAUUUUGAUGUUUUUGUAUUUUUUAAAGACAUUUAGGGUGAAAUUCACCUUUAGAGAGCUUGAUAAGGUCCAUUAAAGCAAAUUUCCACCAGAAAAAGAAAUAAUUUGAAGCAAAAUCGGUGCAAUUAUUAAAAAAUAGUUUGGGGUAAAUGUUGAGCAUUAAAGGGAGGAGAUGUAUCGAGCAACAUUCACUGUCGACUACAUUUCCUCGGCUCUGAAAUGUUGGGAAAAUGGUCUUAAAAUUCUCCUCAGACGUGGUGUUUGGUUGGAGAUGAAGUUCCUGCAGCAGCUUCUCACCGACAUGUUUCCACCAGAAAAACAACAGUAAACAUACAAACUUGGUAUUUUUUCCCACCGUGGAAGGCGGAGGACUCAACCUUUUGCGUUAUUUUUGGCACAUGAAGGGUGGAGCCUUCGCUGGUCGCCGACAUGGAUGGUCGCCAUGGAGACGGAGGGGAUGAAGUUCACAGUGUUGGACGACUGACAGCUCACAGUGUUCAACAGCCGGGACGCUUUGACGACACGACGACGAGCUUCCUGCUGCUGCUCUUCACCGUAUCGCUCUCACAGGUGGGUUUAGUUUCUUUCUUUUUUAAAGUUUGGGGCUUCAUUCAUUCAUUCAUUCAUUUGAUCGUCAUGGUAACUUCAUGCAGAUGAAAUAAAAAAAAAACAGCAAAAGAAGGCAACACAUGGUCGCAGUGACAGCAGGAACUCAGCGUUCUGAUGCGGCGAUAUGAACACGAGGAAAAACCCAACCUCAGAUGUUCAGUGUUUCUAGCGUGAAGCCGUUUUCCCUUAAUUAGUGAUUCACUACGUUUCCCAGAAUGCCAAGCAGCAAACCACAACACAAAGAUAAUCAGUUUACUGUCUUAAAGGAGGAUAAAAAAGGCAUAAAAAUUCAAAUUUAAGAAUCUUGAAUCAGUGAAUCUUGAUUUUUUUCAUAAAAAAUAACUCAAACCAAUGAAUUUAUGAUCAGAAUAGUUGGCAGCGGGUCAAAUAAACGAACCAGAAGCUGCUUUUUGGGCUAAAAUGUUGCAGAAAUUGCAAAAAAUUGGAAAAAUAUGCACCUCUGAGGCUUCGCUGCCGGUCAGUUUAAGUCCAGAAAACAAACCUUUAACGUCUACGGUUAGUUAUUAGGAAUAAAACAAACGUGACGGUAAACAGCCGUCUAAAAGGCGUCCAGGUUGGAUUUUUCCUGUAAACAAACAGAGCAGGAAGAGAAGAGUUUGUUUCUUUAGCGUGCGGUUUGGCAGCUUCACCGUCGUUCAUCCAGAACAACAGAUUUCUGGAGCUUUCAGCUUUUUAACGGUUUUAAAACUGGAAAUCGUCGCCUGCUGGAGGAGCAACUCUGCUGCCGACACACAAACCAGAGAAGAAGAAAACGUGUGGACAGAAGCUACAGAUGGAGAUGAAGGACGAGCCGCCGUGUCGGAGGAAACAGGAAACCAGGCGAGCAGCGGCAGGACAAAUCUGACACAAUACCCACUAAUUUAUUGUUUAAAGAACGUAUCCCAGAGCUGGAACACAAACGAUAUAAAUAAACUGCUGGAUGAGAGCAGUAGGCCAGCCUUCACUGCUGCUAAUGAGUCAACUACUAGAGUCUAAAAUGGUCAGAAUGCUGCUUUAAUGAGGCUUUUUUCAAAUAAAAACAUCUAAUUAACACUGAAUAUUUUGACUUCUCUGCAAUUAUUUUAAAUAAUUGGGGUAGGAUCCAUUUUUAGAAAUCUUAAAAAGGUGCAUAGAUGUAAAUUUCCACUAGAUAAAGAGAAUAUUUAAAGAAAUAUCUGUGCAGUGAAGAUAUUAAGAUCAAAUUUAACUAUACUGGACAUAAUAUUUAAUCGAAUUAAAAUAUUUUGGAGCGAAUCUCAAAUGGUUUAACACUGAAUAUUUAGAUUUUUUUUGCAAUUAUUU
ensembl:lncRNA